rnacentral:rRNA from 1 species
UACAGAGGGUGCAAGCGUUAAUCGGAUUUACUGGGCGUAAAGCGUGCGUAGGCGGCUCGCUAAGUCGGUUGUGAAAUCCCUGGGCUUAACCUGGGAACUGCAGUCGAUACUGGCAGACUAGAGUACGGUAGAGGGUGGCGGAACUCCGGGUGUAGCGGUGAAAUGCGUAGAUAUCCGGAAGAACACCGAUGGCGAAGGCAACCACCUGGGCCUGUACUGACGCUGAGGUACGAAAGCGUGGGGAGCAAACAGG